AGCUCAUCCCUAACCUUGGUUUUUUGGAACUGAUUCUUAAUACUCCUAGCCAUCAUAGAGUUCAUCAUGGCAGAAAUCAUUAUUGCAUAGACAAAAAUUAUGCUGGUGUUCUUAUUAUUUGGGAUAGAAUUUUUGGGACCUUUGAAGCAGAAAAUGAAAAAGUUGUAUAUGGUCUAACACAUCCCAUUAAUACAUUUGAACCAAUGAAGGUGCAGUUCCACCAUUUAUUUUACAUAUGGACUGCAUUCUGGGCCACACCUGGAUUCUUUCAUAAGUUUUCUGUAAUAUUUAAAGGACCAGGAUGGGGUCCAGGUAAACCAAGACUUGGACUAAGGGAAGAAAUCCCACAGACACUGUCACAAAUGACUCUCCUUUUGAGGGUUUGCUUCAUUAUCCUGACCUUGACUUCCAUUGGAUUUCUUCUGGA